CUCUAGAGUUUGAUCCUGGCUCAGGAUGAACGCUGGCGGCGUGCUAAUACAUGCAAGUCGAGCGAACUGAUUAGAAGCUUGCUUCUAUGACGUUAGCGGCGGACGGGUGAGUAACACGUGGGCAACCUGCCUGUAAGACUGGGAUAACUUCGGGAAACCGAAGCUAAUACCGGAUAGGAUCUUCUCCUUCAUGGGAGAUGAUUGAAAGAUGGUUUCGGCUAUCACUUACAGAUGGGCCCGCGGUGCAUUAGCUAGUUGGUGAGGUAACGGCUCACCAAGGCAACGAUGCAUAGCCGACCUGAGAGGGUGAUCGGCCACACUGGGACUGAGACACGGCCCAGACUCCUACGGGAGGCAGCAGUAGGGAAUCUUCCGCAAUGGACGAAAGUCUGACGGAGCAACGCCGCGUGAGUGAUGAAGGCUUUCGGGUCGUAAAACUCUGUUGUUAGGGAAGAACAAGUACGAGAGUAACUGCUCGUACCUGACGGUACCCUACCAGACUAAUGUUGGC
rnacentral:rRNA from 1 species